rnacentral:tRNA from 1 species
GGGCUCGUAGCUCAGUUGGCAGAGCUCCUCCCUUUUAAGGAGGAUGUCGGGGGUUCAAAUCCUCCCGGGCCCACCA